UACGGAAGGCAGCAAUGGGGAAUAUUGCACAAUGGGCGCAAGCCUGAUGCAGCCAUGCCGCGUGUAUGAAGAAGGCCUUCGGGUUGUAAAGUACUUUCAGUCGUGAGGAAGGUGUUAAGGUUAAUAACCUUAGCAAUUGACGUUAGCGACAGAAGAAGCACCGGCUAACUCCGUGCCAGCAGCCGCGGUAAUACGGAGGGUGCGAGCGUUAAUCGGAAUUACUGGGCGUAAAGGGCACGCAGGCGGUUAAUUAAGUUGGAUGUGAAUCCCCGGGCUUAACCUGGGAAUGGCAUUCAAGACUGGUUAGCUAGAGUCUUGUAGAGGGGGUAGAAUUCCAUGUGUAGCGGUGAAAUGCGUAGAGAUGUGGAGGAAUACCGGUGGCGAAGGCGGCCCCUGGGACAAAGACUGACGCUCAUGUGCGAAAGCGUGGGGAGCAAACAGGGAUUUAGAUACC
rnacentral:rRNA from 1 species